CCCUUAGAGUUUGAUCCUGGCUCAGGAUGAACGCUAGCUACAGGCUUAACACAUGCAAGUCGAGGGGCAGCAUGUCGGUUGCUUGCAACCGAUGAUGGCGACCGGCGCACGGGUGAGUAACGCGUAUCCAACCUACCCUUGUCCAUCGGAUAACCCGUCGAAAGGCGGCCUAACACGAUAUGCGGUUCACAGCAGGCAUCUAACGUGAACGAAAUGUGAAGGAGAAGGAUGGGGAUGCGUCUGAUUAGCUUGUUGGCGGGGUAACGGCCCACCAAGGCUACGAUCAGUAGGGGUUCUGAGAGGAAGGUCCCCCACAUUGGAACUGAGACACGGUCCAAACUCCUACGGGAGGCAGCAGUGAGGAAUAUUGGUCAAUGGACGAGAGUCUGAACCAGCCAAGUAGCGUGCAGGAUGACGGCCCUAUGGGUUGUAAACUGCUUUUAUAGGGGGAUAAAGUGUGCCACGUGUGGCAUAUUGCAGGUACCCUAUGAAUAAGGACCGGCUAAUUCCGUGCCAGCAGCCGCGGUAAUACGGAAGGUCCAGGCGUUAUCCGGAUUUAUUGGGUUUAAAGGGAGCGUAGGCCGUUUGGUAAGCGUGUUGUGAAAUGUCGGGGCUCAACCUGGGCAUUGCAGCGCGAACUGCCAGACUUGAGUGCGCAGGAAGUAGGCGGAAUUCGUCGUGUAGCGGUGAAAUGCUUAGAUAUGACGAAGAACUCCGAUUGCGAAGGCAGCCUGCUGUAGCGCAACUGACGCUGAAGCUCGAAAGCGUGGGUAUCGAACAGGAUUAGAUACCCUGGUAGUCCACGCGGUAAACGAUGGAUGCUCGCUGUUUGCGUCUGACGUAAGCGGCCAAGCGAAAGCGUUAAGCAUCCCACCUGGGGAGUACGCCGGCAACGGUGAAACUCAAAUGAAUUGACGG
rnacentral:rRNA from 1 species